UUUUCGAUUCGCAUUCGUCAGUAAAUGUUUGUAUUGCGGCCUAUACAACCGCACAGGCUCGUUUAAAAUUAUAUAGUUAUUUAGACCAGCUAGGUGAAAGGGUACUCUAUUACGAUACAGACUCCGUUAUUUUUAUUCAAAAACCCGGUGAAUACGAGCCCCCCACUGGCGAGUUUAUUGGAGAUCUCACCGACGAACUCGAGGAAUACGGCCCCGGAUCUUUCAUUUCAGAAUUUAUUUUUUCUAUUUUAACCAAAAAAAAAAAAAAGAAAUGGGCCACCUGAAACUUCCUGAAAAUAAUUCAUUACAAGAUUAUGCAGAUGAGGAAAUACGUAAUCAUAAUCAUUAUCUGAUGCAAUACAUUUCAAAUUUUGAAAAGGUAAUUAAUUUAGCCAUAUCGGGGGGAUUUGAUUUUGAAUUUAGACGUGCUAGAGUGACAAACGAAAUAGUUGUAAUAUUGACAGAUUACAGCUGGACUGGGGACAAAAUAUUGUUUCAAGGAAACGACUUUUUGCGAUUAACAAAAAUUUUAGUAAAAAAAAUCAACCCAAACAGUGAGACGGACGUCGAAUUUAAAUACCUUUUUGGCAAUGUUCGAGUCGAAUACAUGUAUUACGAAAAAUCUAUUUUUAGUUUAGACUUUCGUACCUAUUAUACCAGCGUAUUUCUAUUCAGAGAGUCCGUUUUUGAUUUUCUCAAAAAAGCCGACCAGAUCGUUACGAUUCUUACCCACCUGCUCCAGCCGAGGGAGCAAUAAGGGUACAAUAUCUGUUUUAUUAGUCAACUGUAAAUACCGCAUCAUGUUUGUGGUUGUGUAAGUGAUCGUAAAUUUGCCUCGUGGCAAAGGCCUGCCGGCUAUCGGUUUAUUAUUUAUAGGGGAUAGGAUAGGCAAAAACUUUUUUAAUAAGAAGGACCCGCUGACAAAUUAGAUCGAAAAAUAAGUAUAUACAUAUAUAGCAGCGGGUCUUUUUUUUUUUUUUUAAAUAAUAAUAAUUUUUUCAACAGAAUUUUAGGCUAAGCUAAAUACCCUACGCAACAAAAUAUUGAAGGAUCUUCAGGAUCCUACCAGUGAGCGAGUAGAAAAUUAUUUGCAAAGAGGAUAAAGAAGAGCUACUAUGGACGAGAAAAUUAUGAUGUCAUGUUGAACCUUCCUGAUUUCAUAGCAAAGCCCAUAUUUGUGAUCGAUUGUUCCCACCACACGGAAGCCAUAAAGUCUUCAACGGUGGAUAUUAAAUUGGAGUUUGAAGCUAAAACCAAAUUUCCAAAAGGCGUACGGGUGUACGCGCUAAUUCUUCACGAUGCCUUUUUAUCGUAUA